rnacentral:rRNA from 1 species
AUUGAACGCUGGCGGCAGGCCUAACACAUGCCAGUCGAGCGGAUGAAGGGAGCUUGCUCCUGGAUUCAGCGGUGGACGGGUGAGUAAUGCCUAGGAAUCUGCCUGGUAGUGGGGGAUAACGUCCGGAAACGGGCGCUAAUACCGCAUACGUCCUGAGGGAGAAAGUGGGGGAUCUUCGGACCUCACGCUAUCAGAUGAGCCUAGGUCGGAUUAGCUAGUUGGUGGGGUAAAGGCCUACCAAGGCGACGAUCCGUAACUGGUCUGAGAGGGUGAUCAGUCACACUGGAACUGAGACACGGUCCAGACUCCUACGGGAGGCAGCAGUGGGGAAUAUUGGACAAUGGGCGAAAGCCUGAUCCAGCCAUGCCGCGUGUGUGAAGAAGGUCUUCGGAUUGUAAAGCACUUUAAGUUGGGAGGAAGGGCAGUAAGUUAAUACCUUGCUGUUUUGACGUUACCAACAGAAUAAGCACCGGCUAACUUCGUG